rnacentral:rRNA from 1 species
GAUGAACGCUGGCGGCGUGCCUAAUACAUGCAAGUCGAGCGAACAGACGAGGAGCUUGCUCCUCUGACGUUAGCGGCGGACGGGUGAGUAACACGUGGAUAACCUACCUAUAAGACUGGGAUAACUUCGGGAAACCGGAGCUAAUACCGGAUAAUAUAUUGAACCGCAUGGUUCAAUAGUGAAAGACGGUUUUGCUGUCACUUAUAGAUGGAUCCGCGCCGCAUUAGCUAGUUGGUAAGGUAACGGCUUACCAAGGCGACGAUGCGUAGCCGACCUGAGAGGGUGAUCAGCCACACUGGAACUGAGACACGGUCCAGACUCCUACGGGAGGCAGCAGUAGGGAAUCUUCCGCAAUGGGCGAAAGCCUGACGGAGCAACGCCGCGUGAGUGAUGAAGGUCUUCGGAUCGUAAAACUCUGUUAGUAGGGAAGAACAAAUGUGUAAGUAACUAUGCACGUCUUGACGGUACCUAAUCAGAAAGCCACGGCUAACUACGUG